CUGUGAGCUCGAUGAGUAGGGCGGGACACGUGGUAUCCUGUCUGAAUAUGGGGGGACCAUCCUCCAAGGCUAAAUACUCCUGACUGACCGAUAGUGAACCAGUACCGUGAGGGAAAGGCGAAAAGAACCCCGGCGAGGGGAGUGAAAAAGAACCUGAAACCGUGUACGUACAAGCAGUGGGAGCACGCUUAGGCGUGUGACUGCGUACCUUUUGUAUAAUGGGUCAGCGACUUAUAUUCUGUAGCAAGGUUAACCG
rnacentral:rRNA from 1 species